rnacentral:rRNA from 1 species
GAUGAACGCUAGCGGCAGGCCUAAUACAUGCAAGUCGAGGGGCAGUCCCGUUUUCGGACGGGAGCGACCGGCGCACGGGUGCGUAACGCGUAUGCAAUCUACCCACAACAGGGGGAUAGCCCGGAGAAAUUCGGAUUAAUACCCCAUAAUGCAUAUUUACCGCAUGGUAGAUAUAGCUAAAGCUUUCGAGUGGUUGUGGAUGGGCAUGCGUCUGAUUAGCUAGUUGGUGUGGUAACGG